UGGGGAAUAUUGGACAAUGGGCGAAAGCCUGAUCCAGCAAUGCCGCGUGAGUGAUGAAGGCCUUAGGGUUGUAAAGCUCUUUUACCCGGGAUGAUAAUGACAGUACCGGGAGAAUAAGCUCCGGCUAACUCCGUGCCAGCAGCCGCGGUAAUACGGAGGGAGCUAGCGUUGUUCGGAAUUACUGGGCGUAAAGCGCGCGUAGGCGGUUACUCAAGUCAGAGGUGAAAGCCCGGGGCUCAACCCCGGAACUGCCUUUGAAACUAGGUAACUAGAAUCUUGGAGAGGUCAGUGGAAUUCCGAGUGUAGAGGUGAAAUUCGUAGAUAUUCGGAAGAACACCAGUGGCGAAGGCGACUGACUGGACAAGUAUUGACGCUGAGGUGCGAAAGCGUGGGGAGCAAAACAGGAUUAGAUACCCUGGUAGUCCACGCCGUAAACGAUGAUAACUAGCUGUCCGGGCACUUGGUGCUUGGGUGGCGCAGCUAACGCAUUAAGUUAUCCGCCUGGGGAGUACGGUCGCAAGAUUAAAAACUC
rnacentral:rRNA from 1 species